AUACGGAGGAUCCGAGCGUUAUCCGGAUUUAUUGGGUUUAAAGGGUGCGCAGGCGGCCAUUUAAGUCAGCGGUUAAAUCGUGGGGCUCAACCCCAUUCUGCCGUUGAUACUGGGUGGCUUGAUUGCGGUCGAGGUUGGCGGAAUUCGUUGUGUAGCGGUGAAAUGCAUAGAUAUGACGAAGAACACCGAUUGCGUAGGCAGCUGACCAGACCGCAAAUGACGCUCAUGCACGAAAGUGCGGGGAUCGAACAGGAUUAGAUACCCUGGUAGUCCGCACAGUAAACGAUGAAUAUUUGUUUUCGGCGAUAUAAUGUCGGAGGCAAAGCGAAAGCGAUAAGUAUUCCACCUGGGGAGUACGCCGGCAACGGUGAAACUCAAAUGAAUUGACGGGG
rnacentral:rRNA from 1 species